CUGUACUCGAAAACCAGUAGCGCCCAGUUCUGAACGCAGACACACGGCACCGUCUCCAGCGCGCACACCCGGCGGCGGCCGGCAGCGCCGCACGGAGCGUGCCCGGGGCACGGCGUCGUGAAGCAGCCCGGCCGCCUUCCCCCGCCGCAGGGGAAACACGCGGCGGCACCGCUGCGCGACACCCAGCCGCGCUGCUUUUAAGGUAGAAAGCGCGGUAAGAGCAGGCGCAGGUCGGUCUCCCCAGCCAGGCCGCCACCGCCGUCGCACACCUGGCGCCCAGCAGCGGCUCCCCGGGCGCCCGCGCAGGCCGCGCCGCUGCCCGCAGGACGGAGCCGCCGCCGAGUUACUACAGGUUGGUAGAACAACAACAGGAUAUUAAUAUGUCCAUAAGAUGGUUCUCAAGAGAAAUAACUUCUGUGAGGAAGCAAGCUUAUUUCAGUGGGAAGAUCUGCAUGCCAAAUCAGAACUUCCUUAAGACCCGUUAUCUACACAGUUCCUUUGAACUAUAAAGUUACACCAACUGUUGGAAGAACUCAGAUUCACACUGAAGACCACAUCUGUCCAGUUUGAUCAAUCUCAACUAUUACAGAAGCACUGGAACUAUCAAUGUAAUCAGCUAGUAUCAUUCGCACUUCAUGUGGUCAGAGUCAGUUGAAUGCUCGCUGAUGCCGACCCGGGUUUCUCGGGGGACGCAUAUACCCUUACCAACGCACCUUAGGAGGAAACGUACCAGCCAUGGGUUGACCUGUUUCUCAAUAUAUGAAGAAACUUGUCUCUAAGCAUCAACACUACGAGAAUGUGUCUUUUUCGGCAUUGGCCGAGAUGACAUCAGAUGUUUUUACAAGCUGUGUCUGAGAUCCUGGAAAAAUAUCUCAUAUUAAGGACAGUAGAUAGCUGGAGUUUCCAAUGGGAUUGAUACUGGAAGGAACUGUUUUAUCACAUAGAUUCACAAUGUACCGUGGGACCACUCCAAAUCUACUGUUUGGGUAACCCCAGGCUGUUUCAAGGAUAACGAAGAAGAAAAUGAUGGCGGAAAAACUAUUAGGUAAUCCUGUAAGCAUUUAACAACAAUGACUUGUCCCGGAUUGCUGUCACGGAAAUUAAAGGAUACCCUCAUGGUUCUUCUAGUAAUUACUAGAGGACAGAAAUGUUUUUUCCCUUUGUGGUUUUGCACCCAAAUCGCAAGGAUUCACUUUAUCUGCAGAAGUCAGAAGGGUUUUUGGAUCAAAUUUUUCUCUUUCUAAACAUAUGUAUAGAUUGCUGUUAGGAGAACUGUCAGAAUAAGAGACUAUGUACACACAGUAGUCUUGGAAAACCAUUCAGGAAUGUGCCCUUCACACGU